AUGGUGAGCAUAAAACCUUGGCCAUCUAUCAAAGGUUUUAUGCUCAUCAUAAAAUUAAUAGAUAAGUAAAAAUCUAGAAGUUCAUGAGUCCCAAAAAAAAUUACUUGGAAGAAUAAAGAACCUGUAAGAAAUAAAGAAAUGAAUAACAAACAACUCAAAAUAGAGCAAAAUAUGUUAACAUGUAGCUAAAUGUUAACUAACUAGUCCAUAGAAGAAGAAACAUUGAUUGCAGAGUGGUAGUCAUAUAAAAUAUUUAUAUAGGCUAUAUUUUACAAUCUCUGUUGUGCUUCGUGUUGGGGUCCUAACCACCUUGUCAAGAUGUAUUUUGUGAUAAAUGACGCCUAACUGUAUAUUAUCCCUUACAUAACUUGUUCUUCAUAUUUUUUCCCCAGUUGGGAACCUCUGCUCUGCUUCCUGUUCUUGCAACAUGGAUUUCAAACUGUCAAACGCACCUUUCCCACAAUGCUUUACUGCCUUCUCCCUUUAACAACAAAGACAAAAGCUCAAUUCAUUGUUUAAAAAUGAAUAAACUCUAUUUAUCGUUCUUAAUUCAUGUUAAUACGUUUUGCAAGUAAUCAAAGACAUACACAAGACUGUUUUAAGGAAAAAAUCUCCCUCAUUGUUACCUGCAUCCAUUUAUUUUGUUCAGCUGCACCGCCUCACACAGUCUCUGGCGGGCUAACCUUUUGCCAUAAACUUGAACUUUGCUCACCCUCCCUGGACGACUUCAGACCGAACACAUUAAUAACACUUAUGACCAACAGCUCGCGGUGAGCUGGCAGCCUCUGACUCCAUAAUUAUCUGUCAACAAAAGCCAAGCUUCUAAACUGGCGUCAGACUGCACGAGGAAAGUCUAUAUUUCAUUGUACUGCGAUCUUCUUCAAAAGCGACUUGUGUGUACCUUCUCUUUUGGCCCAAAACCGCUCGGGGGUUGUCCGCUGAUGUGUCAAAGACGACGGUCAUCGGAUAUUUCGGAAGCCGUGAGGGGUUGAGGUCGCGGCGGCCAGGGCAGAACCUUCGACCCCCGGGGUCUCUCUCCACUAGCACUCUCACUGAAAUGCGACAGACGAGGAAGGAGGGAGACAGACGAGAGAGAACAGCUUCGAUGAGGGAAGAGGGGGAGCCCGAGAGAGACGACUGCAAUGAGCGCGCGCUGCCACUGGGGUCAGAGAGCACAGCAGUGGAGUCGAGGGGUAAAAAGACGGACAGCCAUUGGGCAGCACCUUUCACCGGAAGCGCACGCGAUAGGUCAGACAGCCAAUGAAUUUGGCAGCGUAAUUUGCAUAUAUUUUAUAUUAAGUACAGACUGCCAUUAAGGUAAAAUAUUUGUAUUUUUAUAAUCAAAAGCUGUUCCAUAUGUCAGUUUGGCUUUAUGAUCUAGCACAGGGGUUUCCAAAUAUAUAUAAAAAAGUUCAAA